rnacentral:lncRNA from 1 species
ACACUUCCUUCUUCUCUCUGCGCUUGUCUUGCCUGAGCAAGAACACGUGUGUCUGGCUUUACCCUUGCGGCUAAUGAAUGAAUCAGAAGGUUCUGCCUUCAGCUGAGCAGGCCCCCUGCACACGCCCCACAGUCAGCAUCGCAGGAUGUGUUCAUCGAGUCACCAAGAAUAACUGCAGCUCCUCUUUGCUAACUGUCGUGGUCUGUUUUCCUUUUAUUUUUCUUUCCAAGUGGGAAAGGAAUGCUGCGCAGGCCCUCGUGGGCAUUUGUCUUCCAUAGGGCAACAGCUCCCUCUAUUGCCUCAAAAUCUUUCCGCUUGCUGAAGGCAAACGAACUGUAAUCAGUCUUGUGAAGUGUUUGUUACUUCCGGCGUGUUGAAAAAGCACGCACAUCAGAUCAGUCUGGAUGGGCUGCAGCGGGAUGAGGGGUGAGUCCCAAACUUCAAGCCACUGUGUGAUUUCCCUCUGUAUCAAAGAUUUUAAUGCUCCAGCACAAGAGACUUAAAAAAAUGCUUUUCCUUAUUAGCUCCUCUCAAUGGGGAAGUUUCUGAAGUUCAAAGAACAUCCUACCAUAAAUCACAACUUUCCGUCUCUUUGAAAUCCUUAAUAUAUUAUAAUUUUAUUAGAAUUUAUAAAAAUAAUAUUCUAAGACUGUAGCAUUUAAUUUUCUUGGAAUUGCUUGAGAACUUAAUUUGGAUGCCUCUUCUUACUUGUUCUGUUAUUUAUUCUACCUCCAGAGAAGUUUAUUUUUAUAUGUCCUUAUUUUUACAGACUCACCAUGUAGAGCAUUCCAGUAUAGCAAUAAGUAUGUGUGAAUCCCACACAGUCUCAUCAAGCUCCAUUUUAGUGUCCAUGAUGUACCAAAGAAACACAAGGAAUGUUUCCACUCAGAGAGUAGUCAGGCAGAAAAACAAGCAUAUAUGAAUCCAUUUAUUGUGAAAAAUUAAAUUUAAAAAGAAUUCGGAGAUCAAUGUGAAUUCGGGGUGGGCUGUCACAAGUAAAACUUUCAGAGAGAGGGGCAUUCUUCUCCGACGGGUAGGAUGAGACACCCGGGAACCUUGGGAGGAAGUGAGUUUAUUUUUCAUUUGGGAGGGAUGUGAGCUUCUAGGGGUCAGAGCGAGACUGUGAUAAGGAGAAUUUUAAAGAUGGCCGCCACGAUUCUUGCCACCUGAUAUGGAUGCCAUUUGAAUGUAAUGGGCUUGUCAAUCUCUUAAUUAAGUUAUAUCCUAUGCCAAAGGUGAAGGGAUUUUGAAGAUGUAAUUGAGGACCCUAAUCUGCUCACAGGGAGUUAAUCAGAGGGAGAUGAUCCUGAGUGGGCCUGACCUAAUCAGGAGGGCUUAUAAAGAGGAUCCAGGCCUUUCCUAAAAGAGACACUCAAAGUAAGAGAGAUUCUCCUGCUGGCCUUGAAAAAACAGAGCCAUGCUGUGAACUGCCUAUGGACGGGGCCACAAAGAAAGAACCUGAGGGGAGCGUGUAGAAGCUGAGAGUA